GAUGAACGCUGGCGGCGUGCCUAACACAUGCAAGUCGAGCGAAGCACUUACUUUAGAUUUCUUCGGAAUGACGAAGUUUGUGACUGAGCGGCGGACGGGUGAGUAACGCGUGGGCAACCUGCCCUGUACAGGGGGAUAACAGUUAGAAAUGACUGCUAAUACCGCAAAAGCCCACAGCUUCGCAUGAAGCAGUGGGAAAAACUCCGGUGGUACAGGAUGGGCCCGCGUCUGAUUAGCUAGUUGGUAAGGUAACGGCUUACCAAGGCGACGAUCAGUAGCCGACCUGAGAGGGUGACCGGCCACAUUGGGACUGAGACACGGCCCAAACUCCUACGGGAGGCAGCAGUGGGGAAUAUUGCACAAUGGGGGAAACCCUGAUGCAGCGACGCCGCGUGAGCGAUGAAGUAUUUCGGUAUGUAAAGCUCUAUCAGCAGGGAAGAAAGUGAGGGUACCUGACUAAGAAGCCCCGGCUAACUACGUG
rnacentral:rRNA from 1 species